rnacentral:rRNA from 1 species
UACGAAGGGGGCUAGCGUUGUUCGGAAUCACUGGGCGUAAAGCGUAUGUAGGCGGAUUGUUAAGUCAGGGGUGAAAUCCCGAGGCUCAACCUCGGAACUGCCUUUGAUACUGGCUGUCUUGAGUCCGGGAGAGGUGAGUGGAACUCCUAGUGUAGAGGUGAAAUUCGUAGAUAUUAGGAAGAACACCAGUGGCGAAGGCGGCUCACUGGCCCGGAACUGACGCUGAUGUACGAAAGCGUGGGGAGCAACAGGG